GGAAUAUGAUCUCGUUGAGACGCUCCAUCUUCCCGAUGCUGGCCGGGAAACACCCCCGAAACUUGUUGUUGGCGAGGACGAUGACAGAGACAGGCGAGUCGCCGAAAUUGUCUGGCAAGUCAAAUGCCAAGCGGUUGUCGUUGACAAAAAUAGCAUCUAGUUCCUUAUCAAAUAGCUCUUUAGGGACGGUGCCCUCGAACUCAUUGAACCUGAUGUCGAGGAACUUCAACGAGGGGAGAGAGAGGACGACGUUUGGAAAGCCGCCGGCGAAGCGGUUGUUGCUGACGUCGAGCUCGAAGAGCAGGUGUAGGUUUUUAAAGGAUUUGGGUAGGGUGCCGCAGAAGCGGUUGGAGUUGAUGUGGAAGAGUGCGAGGUCCGUAAGGAGACCGAGCUCUUCCGGGAGGUAGCCGGCUAUGUCAUCGUGGUUGAGGUCUAUGCCAGCGACAACAUUUACAGAUUUAUCGGUUGGGAGCGGGGCGCAGAAGACGCCUGUGUAGUUGCAGACGUCUGGGCCGACCCAGGUGCCGGUGACGUUCUUGGGGUCUGAGACGAUGGCCUGCUUCCAGGCUUGGAGUGCAAUGAAGGCAUUGCGGAGGUGGUCGUUCUCGAAAACAAACGUAGGUGGGACUGUUAUUUGCUCAUCAUCAUGAAAGGCGAGAAGCUGGCGGUGGCGGAUGAAGCCGACUUCCGCAUCCGUGAGACCGGAGGCGGAUACGGUGAUGGCGAUGAUUGUGAAGAGCGAUAUGAAUAGCGGUCGGAGAUAUAAUUGGGUAUUCUUCAUCUCAUAACGGAGGAGGAGGAGAAGGAGGUGGUGGGGUGAGGAAGAGGAGG
rnacentral:misc_RNA from 1 species